GAUGAACGCUGGCGGCGUGCCUAAUACAUGCAAGUCGAGCGAAUGGAUUAAGAGCUUGCUCUUAUGAAGUUAGCGGCGGACGGGUGAGUAACACGUGGGUAACCUGCCCAUAAGACUGGGAUAACUCCGGGAAACCGGGGCUAAUACCGGAUAACAUUUUGAACCGCAUGGUUCGAAAUUGAAAGGCGGCUUCGGCUGUCACUUAUGGAUGGACCCGCGUCGCAUUAGCUAGUUGGUGAGGUAACGGCUCACCAAGGCAACGAUGCGUAGCCGACCUGCGGGGGUGAUCGGCCACACUGGGACUGAGACACGGCCCAGACGCCUACGGGAGGCAGCAGUAGGGAAUCUUCCGCAAUGGACGAAAGUCUGACGGAGCAACGCCGCGUGAGUGAUGAAGGCUUUCGGGUCGUAAAACUCUGUUGUUAGGGAAGAACAAGUGCUAGUUGAAUAAGCUGGCACCUUGACGGUACCUAACCAGAAAGCCACGGCUAACUACGUGCCAGCAGCCGCAGUAA
rnacentral:rRNA from 1 species